rnacentral:sRNA from 1 species
GUGUGUGUGAGGAGUAAGUUUAGAUAAAAAAGCGCUUGGAGUGGUAACACGGUAACACUCCAGGCGCUUUUUAAA